CCUACGGGUGGCAGCAGUGAGGAAUAUUGGUCAAUGGACGUAAGUCUGAACCAGCCAAGUAGCGUGAAGGAUGACUGCCCUAUGGGUUGUAAACUUCUUUUAUACAGGAAUAAAACGCGUCACGUGUGCCUUUUUGCAUGUACUUUAUGAAUAAGGAUCGGCUAACUCCGUGCCAGCAGCCGCGGUAAUACGGAGGGUCCGAGCGUUAUCCGGAUUUAUUGGGUUUAAAGGGAGCGUAGACGGGAUGUUAAGUCAGUUGUGAAAGUUUGCGGCUCAACCGUAAAAUUGCAAUGGAGACUGGCAGGCUUGAGUACAGGUGAGGUAGGCGGAAUUCGUGGUGUAGCGGUGAAAUGCUUAGAUAUCACGAAGAACCCCGAUUGCGAAGGCAGCUUACUAAACUGUGACUGACACUGAUGCUCGAAAGUGUGGGUAUCAAACAGGAUUAGAUACCCGAGUAGUC
rnacentral:rRNA from 1 species